UCAUUAAAUUCCCAAGCCUGUCACUCCAUUGAUUGUUAGAGUUGGUUCGGUUGAUUCAGCUGGCCAGAUGGGUGCCCUCUUCCUUACUUACUGCUUAAUAUGUGCCCCUCCUAAAGCUGGAGUUCAGUGGAUGAGGAUGGCUAUCCCAGUUAGAAGGAUAUGCUGUUCUUCAGGAUAUACUAUAGCCCUUCUAGAACCUGCAUACAAGAUCAUUCCUCAAGUAAACCAUCAUAAGGGGAUUUUUCCCAUUGGGCUCAUUCAGUGGCAACAAUGCCAUCU
ensembl:misc_RNA 7SK 7SK RNA